rnacentral:rRNA from 1 species
ACGGGGAUGCCUUAGUACGGCGAGUGAAGCGGCAAAAGCUCAAAUUUGAAAUCUGGUACCUUUGGUGCCCGAGUUGUAAUUUGGAGAGGGCAACUUUGGGACCGUUCCUUGUCUAUGUUCCUUGGAACAGGACGUCAUAGAGGGUGAGAAUCCCGUGUGGCGAGGAGUGCGGUUCUAUGUAAAGUGCCUUCGAAGAGUCGAGUUGUUUGGGAAUGCAGCUCUAAGUGGGUGGUAAAUUCCAUCUAAAGCUAAAUAUUGGCGAGAGACCGAUAGCGAACAAGUACAGUGAUGGAAAGAUGAAAAGAACUUUGAAAAGAGAGUGAAAAAGUACGUGAAAUUGUUGAAAGGGAAGGGCAUUUGAUCAGACAUGGUGUUUUGCGCCCUCUGCUCCUUGUGGGUGGGGGAAUCUCGCAGUUCACUGGGCCAGCAUCAGUUUUGGUGGCAGGAUAAAUCCGUAGGAAUGUAACUUGCUUCGGGAAGUAUUAUAGCCUAUGGGAAUACUGCCAGCUGGGACUGAGGACUGCGACGUAAGUCAAGGAUGCUGGCAUAAUGGUUAUAUGCCGCCCGUCUUGAACCACGGACCA